rnacentral:tRNA from 1 species
GCCUGGGUGGUUCAGUCGGUUAAGCGUCUGACUUCGGCUCAGGUCAUGAGCUCACGGUUCGUGGGUUCAAGCCCCGCGUCGGGCU